UCUGUGUCCUGUCCACAGUGGGAGGAGGUGAGCGGGUACGAUGAGAACAUGAACACGAUUCGCACCUACCAGGUGUGCAACGUCUUUGAAUCCAGCCAAAACAACUGGCUCCGGACCAAGUACAUCCGGAGGCGAGGAGCGCACCGCAUCCAUGUGGAGAUGAAAUUUUCUGUCCGGGACUGCAGCAGCAUCCCUAAUGUCCCAGGCUCCUGUAAGGAGACUUUUAACCUCUACUAUUUCGAGUCGGACUUUGACUCAGCCACCAAGACUUUUCCUAACUGGAUGGAGAAUCCUUGGAUGAAGGUAGACACAAUUGCUGCCGAUGAGAGCUUCUCGCAGGUGGACCUAGGUGGACGGGUGAUGAAGAUUAACACCGAGGUGCGCAGUUUUGGGCCUGUCUCCAAGAAUGGUUUCUACCUGGCCUUCCAGGACUAUGGAGGCUGCAUGUCCUUGAUUGCCGUCCGUGUCUUCUACCGCAAGUGUCCCCGCGUGAUCCAGAAUGGGGCAGUCUUCCAAGAAACCCUGUCAGGAGCAGAGAGCACCUCACUGGUGGCAGCCCGGGGGACGUGCAUCACCAACGCAGAGGAGGUGGAUGUGCCAAUCAAGCUGUACUGCAACGGGGAUGGCGAGUGGCUGGUGCCCAUCGGCCGCUGCAUGUGCCGGGCGGGCUAUGAGUCGGUAGAAAAUGGGACUGUCUGCAGAG